rnacentral:rRNA from 1 species
GACAGAGGAUGCAAGCGUUAUCCGGAAUGAUUGGGCGUAAAGCGUCUGUAGGUGGCUUUUUAAGUCCGCCGUCAAAUCCCAGGGCUUCAACCCUGGACAGGCGGUGGAAACUACCAAGCUGGAGUACGGUAAGGGGCAGAGGGAAUUUCCGGUGGAGCGGGUGAAAUGCGUAGAGAUUGGAAAGAACACCGAUGGCGAAGGCACCUUACUGGGCUAUUACUAACACUCAGAGACGAAAGCUAGGGUAGCAAAUGGGG